UAGGGAAUAUUAGUAAUGGGCGAAAGCCUGAACUAGCAACACCGCGUGUGCGAAGAAGGCCUUCGGGUUGUAAAGCACUUUUUGAGAGGAUGAGGAAGGACGGUACUCUCAGAAUAAGUCUCGGCUAACUACGUGCCAGCAGCCGCGGUAACACGUAGGAGGCAAACGUUAUCCGGAUUUACUGGGCGUAAAGCGCGUGUAGGUGGUUUGGUAAGUAGAGCGUGAAAGCUCCUGGCUCAACUGGGAGAGGUCGUUCUAAACUGCCGGACUAGAGGAUGGUAGAGGGAGGUGGAAUUCCGCAUGUAGUGGUGAAAUGCGUAGAUAUGCGGAGGAACACCAGUGGCGAAAGCGGCCUCCUGGCCCAUUUCUGACGCUCAGACACGAAAGCUAAGGUAGCAAACG
rnacentral:rRNA from 1 species